AGUUCGGUUGCCAAGCCACAAGAGAUCUGAGUAUCUGAAGAAGAGGGUGCAUUAACCCCUUUCGGCUUUCCUCUUUCCCACCAACUUUUUAAGAAGCAAGCAUCCUUAUUUCAAAUUCCAACAACCAGACAUGAAGCUUCCCAGCACAACGGAACCCAGCUUGCAUUCUACACCUCUACAACAUGGUGUCUUCUGCUGUCUGCUGAGAUCCACACGCUCUGGGACCAAGUUCUAAAGGAAUGAGAUGAAAGGGCUGAAAACCUAUUGCUUUUUAAAAGUGGAAGGAGCUUGAUCCUAAGCCAGAGCAGAAUCAUGCAUUCAAUGAACACAACAGGAUCUUUCUGUGAGCAAGACACAGAAACAAGGUGCCACACCCAUUCCUGCAAAGCUCAUGCAGCUGGCAAGUGCCUGCUAGCAGCACUGGUGUAUGGACACCCCAUGCAGCCUUGUCUUGUGAGGUAGGAAGAAGAGAGAACAACAGUCAACACAGUUGUCUGACAGGAGAUGAGCCACAAUGGGGGACACAAGAGGAAGAGUGAAGACUAAGGCUGGAAUAUCAGUUGGGUGCAUCCUUCACAUCUGCAAAGUCAUGGAGUCUGGAAUUUAUCCUUUGGACAGCAAAGUGACACCCAGCCCACUUAAUGCUAAGUUUUUCAGCUCCGCUCUGCAUCCCCGGCAUCCGGCCUGCUACCCACCUACCCCUCUGGCAGCCCGUUAUGCUC